GCCAUGUUGGAGCCGUGGGAGAAGAACAGCCCCGCGCAGGGCGGUGGCUCACGUGGGCCGAUGUAGCUCUGGGGUCUGAACGUGUGACGGAAGCGGCGUACGCCCCUGAAGAGCUACCAAGUCUCCUGCUUCUCUCCGCUACCUACUGCCAAAAACCAUCCAACAUGCUAGUGCUGGCCUGCAGGUUCCCUGAGAGACCGUGGCACUAAAAAUCGAUGCGACUCACAUAUUUCCCUGAAUCCUCUCAUGAUGUAGCUUGCCCCAAGUCCGGUUCCCGGUAUUCAAGACAUGAAUUUUAAGGACAGAGAGUUUUAAUACUUGUGCCUGGAUUUAUGUAAAUACGUUUAGAAUUAUGCAAAUUUACAAUCUUGCUUUUUAAUGUUGUUGUCAUAAGGUGCUUGCAGGUGGGAGACUGGAAACACUAGAGGAGAAAAGGUGUCUAUAGCAACAGGAGUGUAACUGACUAUUUGUAGAACGUCCAUUGCUUUUUGCCAGGGUGUUGUAGCUGUGUUGAUCCUAGGAUAUUAGAGAAGGUAAGUGAGGUAAUAUCUUUUGUUUGACCGAUUUCUGUUGAUGAGAGAGUAAAUAAAUAAAUAAAAAUGGAAAAGCUGUUACUUACAGAAAAGGAGUAACUGCCAUUAGAGCUGAGGCUUAUUCAGCCGUCAUCUUUUUCCACUUCGUAGAUGUAUUGUGUGGGGGUGGGAUUAUAAAUGCCAAAGGAUUUAGAUCAGGGAUGCCCAUACUGUGGCAUCCUAAUUUGCUCCUCAUAGCUCCCCUGUCCCUCCAGGGUCUGAACCAAAUUGAUUGUUAAAAUCCUGUAGACAUUCUUUUCUUCAUCUCGUAAAGGAGGAUAAAAAGUAAAAGCAAAUAUUGGAUGUGUGUGUUUAUCAAUUACUAAAACAUGUAAAUCUAUAUGCAAAUUAGGACCAGCAUUGCAGAUUUGGGAUGCUUCCUGGCUUAAAACCUAGGUCAUGAUUAAUUUAAAAUGUCAAAAAGGGAGAAAUUCAGUUGUACACCAAGAACACUUCACAGAGAACUUCCCUCUUUUCAGCUAUUGAAGUCCUCCAACAGGCCAUGCUGCUUCUAGGAAUGGCAAAGUUAAGAACCCCUCCAUUGUAGUUCUUUUAGGGUUUUUUUGGUGGUUGUUGUUUAAGUGAGUGUGGCCAGCACAGAAAAUAUCCUAUAGUUACACAGUUCAACCCACCAGCUAGGCAGAGAGAUCAGAGGCACAAUUCUGAUCCAGACCCAAUGAUCUGAUGCCCUUCUACUCCCUGCUUCUGGAACAAAUGUUAUCUGAUUCAGGCCAUCAUGGCUGUUGGCCUUUGCAUGUUGAGCAGUUAAUACUACAUCUAGUGUACUUAGGAGCUGCUAUAUUUUAUCCCUCAUGUUAGGCAUUCCUAACUACCUGUGUGGGUUCCCAGGAAAGGAAACCCCAGAGACUUUGAAGCUCCUCUGAUGCUGCCAUAUCGGAGUGCAGCUCUUCUGCUGGCAGAGCAGUGCUUUGCCUUUGCUAAGGGAACAGAGAGUGAAAGAUGAUCCUAGUUCACAGAACUAUGUUGCUUCUAGUAUGGACAUUGCAGCAGAGGCUAGCCACAUGAGUACAGACCGAGAGGGUUGGGCUGUUGCUCGUGCCAUGGUGUUCACACUGCUAGUUUUAGUGUGCUAGCUUGAACUCAGCUCGUGUAUGUCCAUAUACCCAAGCUGGGAGGCAUGCUCCCAGUUACACCCUGGGAAACUUAAGGCCUGAUUCUGCACUGUAUUGAAGCCUUUCCAGUUGCACUAGCGUAAAACUAAAUGGACAAUCAGGCUCUUCCCUUUAGUUUGUAGUUCCCAGUUUCUGCUGUUCUGGGGAUGUGGGAGCAGAUAAGAAAGCAGCUAUAUUUUGGGAGUGUGGGACAUACAGAUGGAGUUUGAAAUAGUUAUUUACGUUACUUGGUAUUGGACUUUUAGGGCCAAAAUCUGUACCCAUUGACUUCAAUGGGUUUUGGAUUAUGCCCUAGUUUAUUUGAAAUAAGGAGGCUGCAUUUUAGUUUGUUCUAAGGCUUUAAUCUCUAGAAUAGACUGGUCAAAGCAUGACUAACAAAUAAUCUGCAGAGAGCAAUACUACGCUGUAAGAGAGAUGGACAAGGUGAUGUAACAGGAAUAAGUAUUUCUCAUCUCUGAUUUAUCUCAAAUCUUCUGUACAAGUUCUGAGGUCUGCAUAGUGUGACAGAUACUGUAGACAUGAAAUAGGAAAGUGUCCAUAAUAUUUUUUGUCAGAUAGGUGUAAAAAAAAAUAAAAUACUCAGUAUUCAGUUAUAAAUUUUUUCACAGACAAGACAACUUCCCCUCAGAGCUGCCAGAGUUGCAUGGAUCUCCCCCCUCCUCAUUUUUUUAUGAUCAGUUUUAAUAAUACAGUCAAAGAUACUAUAUAGUGUAUGCUCUAUCAAUAAAUCAUGCCCAUGCAUCUUCA